UCUCUCGACUUUGUCACUGCGCCUCACAGACAGCGCACUACUGUCCAAGUGGGACGAGCCUUUCCGGUCGCUUUAUCACAGCGCCCGCCCCAAGUAUAAUAUGCCAGUGUCUUGUUAGUCUCAAAGACGUGAAGAGUUGUGUGCGUGUUUCUAGCACAGAAUUUUGAAAAGUACAGGUGUAUCUCAGUUGGAUCUACGUUGCGGUCAAUUUCCGAGACCGAGUGAAGCAGAAGAAAGCGAAGUGUUUCUAUUUCUCCUUGUUUGUGACUGAUAACACCAGUGUUAUUCGCAAAGAAUAAAAAAAGUGAAUCUUGGUGCAGUGUGAGACCUGCAACACAGUAAUGCGCUGCAGUGAAGAGGGAAGCUGUGGAUAGUUCAGCACAGACAGGUGGGGGCAUCUUCAACCUACACCGACGACUGAUAUACGCCGUCGUCCACUGCUGCAUGAUCUUCACCCUUGGCACCAUGUGUAAUUUGGUGGCAGUGUGGUGUGUGAUGACGAGCAACAAGAUCAGUCUAUCAGUGAAGAUCAUCCUGACCAGCAUCUUCAUAACCUCACUGGGCAAGUGCCUGGUGAUAAUGCCACUAUGUGUUGAGAUGGUCCUCGCUUUGCUCUGGGGUGACCCUGGUAGAGUGAUCAAGGCCUUAUAUGCGGGACUUGGUCUGCCAAUUUUCUUUGUCUUGGACAUGGAACUUCUCUAUAACGCCAUGUUAGCCUGCAUCAGAGCCGUGGCAAGGCUAAGCUGGUCACCUCCGAGACUCUCACUUGGGCCGCCGUCAUCGUCGUCGACGUCUUCUUCAGCAUCGUCCUGACAAAUGUGGUACAAGUGACAACAAGCGUCGUCUGGCCACUGGCGGGAAGUCAAAUCAACAGUUCCAUUUAUGAAGUUGUUGCCCAAGCGGCGUGCGCCAUGAUAGCUAUUUUUGUCAGUAACCUCCUCCUGACCCUUCCCUUUGCAGUCUUCUGCAAAGAGUACGUCUCUUUGAUACCACAUUAAUACACGGCAUUAAUACAUCCACCACCACCAUAUCCAUAGUCUGCCGUCGCCAUUUGUUGAACCUUCACUAUGUGUAAUUUGAAACAUGACAAUAUGCACAGUAUUUAUACACAGUAUGUGAAAUAUUGUACAACUUGUACUGUAAACCGUUUCUUGAGUGGCAAGAAUCACAACGUAUGUUACAGUAUGUGACUAGUAUAGUUUUGCUGUAGAUUUAUGAAUAAUAUAAUAUCUGGUAUCUGAGAGCAUCCAGGUCACCUACAAAAUCAGGUUGCAAGGAAAUUUAAUUGACAAAUGUUAUAGCAUCAUAUCUUUUGCUUGCUUCUUAACGCCAUAAUAAAACAAAGUGGCUUUAAUUACUUGUGAAUUAGUUGUAAAGAGUAAUAUAUUGUUGGUUGACUGUUUUUCAUUGCUUGGAUAUUAUCAUACAAUUUUAACGUUAAAUCUCCCAGAUAUGCAAGACUUGUGUCAAGGUUUACGACACAGGGUUAAGAUACUUCACUAUUAGUUAUAUUUAUCAAGAACUUGGGCCAGACAGUAGGCAGUACGUGUGAGGCGGUGAAGGGCGUUAUGGCUCCGAUAUAAUAGUUUACUUAUUUCUGGAUUCACCUCAGAUUAUGUCCUGGUGGAGGAUUUGUGGGGAGGAGGAGUGAAGUACAAAAACUCCCUCGGAAAUAUAAAUUAUUACAUUUAUAUCAUAAGAUUUUAAUAAAGAAAGCAUUAUAGAUAUUAUACUGGAUAAAACAUAUCAACACUUAGCAUUAUAAGUUUAUAAGUCUUAUACAGGAACACAUAGUGACCAUACAGGAUAAUCAUACUGUAUCAAGCCAUCGUCAGCAAACAAAUAAAGCUCAACAUUCUAGAGUUCACUUAGUGGUCAGGUUCAGUGACCCAAGGUUGGAUUACGUUGUUUAGGUAAGGUUAGGAUGGGUUAGGUUAGUUUUGGUUAGGUUCUUUAGGUAAGGUUAGUUUAAACUAGGUGAGGUGAGGUUAGGUUGUUUAGAUAAGGUUGGGUUAGGUUGUGCAGGUAAGGUUAAGUUAGCCUCGGUUGGGCUGAGUUUGGUUAAGCUUUGAAUGCUUUCUUUGGUCAUUAAAAACUAAACUACCCGAAAGUAAUGAUUUUUCGACAUGCUAAAAAAUUAAAACUUAAAUAACCUGUGACCUUUUUUACCUACACUCUAAUCCACAUCCACACUGGAGGGGAUAUUUUUGGGUGUUGUGUUUCACCUUUUAUAAUUGUAUUUAGAUCAUAUCAAAUAAUUACUGUAUAUCAUAAUAGUGGCGGAUCCAAGGCCACGCAGUUUUCUACCGGAUUUGACAAGUGACAUGAGUUGUGUUGGUGCCGAAAUUACUGACCAGGAUGUCAAUGACCAGUAACGAAACGAGAACAUAUUGUCACAGGUCAUAAUUUCCAUCCCAGGUAGUGCCAGGGAGGGUAAACUUAAGGAAAGGCUAAAUCAAACGUGCGUUGGUAAUGUGACCUUAAUCUGACCUUACAUGACCUGAGACAAAUGAUGCUUUUAAAACUGUCACCAUAUUCUUAUACAGUAUAUCCAAUGUAAUAACUAAUAAGUAUUAUUAUAUGUUGUAGCAUUGUGCAAUAUUUAUCUUGUGUAUUCAGUAUUGUUUAUUCUGCACUAUUAUGUAAAAAAAAUUAUAUUAGUAACCUGCUCAUAAAGAUGUAAAAAUAAA